GAACAAAAUCAUACAAGUAAAUAAAAAAUAAAUAAACAAAAUAAUAAGUCUUAUAAUAAUUUUAAACAUAUAAAAAAAGAUUUAUUUAAAAAAAUAUAUAUUUUAAUUGAGUUGAGUGCCUAACAGACAUUAUUGGCCAUACCUAAGAAAGGAAAGGCUGAAAGGACGGCAUCUUCUUGCUGAUGCUGCUCUUUGCAUGUUUUUCACUUAUCUUGUGAAAACCUUUUUCAUCUCCAUUCUACCUGCCCAGGAAGGAAAAUGUAUGCCUCUGGGGUUUCCACCAACAGCUGCCUAACAGAAGUAUCUGCAACCAAGCUGUACCUAGAACUUUAAGACCAGUUCUAAUAGUAUUAAGAUCCUUGGGCACUGUUUACUCCAUCUAUGGGAAACAUCUAACUGCAGCUCUCAGUGUAAAUUCUAGCAGCACCAUCUGGUGAAUGAGAUACAUGCUGUGCAUCAACCAUCGGAAAUCUACAGCAUGGUGUACUCCAUUCUUCAGUCUGCAUCAACAUCUAGACUGCACCAAAAAGCUAGAACAUCCAUCUUUAAGCUGAAGGGGCUUCAAAACGGCACACCAUAUCCUUCCUGCUUCCUCCUGUUCUUUAGUCUGAUUAGUAAUUAAGUGUUCAACUGGAUUCUUCAUCCCCCUGACCACUAAGUAGUGACUGAUAGUCUUCUGCCAGUUUGCAGUGCUUUUUCAUCAUUAAUGGGACUCUUUACAACCAAGCUGUACCUAGAACCUCAAGACCAGUUCUAUGAAAAUUGAGAUCCUUGAGCACUGUGUACUUCAUCUAUGAGGAGCAUCUAGAAACUACAGGCUUCAGCAUGAAAUAUAACAGCAGCACCUGAUAAAUAAGACACAAGCUGUACAAGAACCAUCAAAGUUAGCUUAUUAGCUGAUUUAUCUACCGGUCUUAGUCUUCUUUCUGCUUGUCUAGCCUAAGAAAGCAUCAACCAAAAUUAAACUUUUUCCAACUUUG